rnacentral:rRNA from 1 species
GACGAACCUGACAAACGUUAUUCGGAAUUACUGGGCUUAAAGGGCGCGUAGGCGGCGCGACAAGUUGGGUGUGAAAUCCCUCGGCUCAACCGAGGAACUGCGCUCAAUACUGUCGUGCUCGAGGGAGACAGAGGUGAGCGGAACUUAGGGUGGAGCGGUGAAAUGCGUUGAUAUCCUAAGGAACACCGGUAGCGAAAGCGGCUCACUGGGUCUUUUCUGACGCUGAGGCACGAAAGCUAGGGUAGCGAACGGG